UUUGUACUCUCUCCGUCCCAAAAUUCUUGUCUUAAAUUUGUCUAAAUAUGGAUGUAUCUAGUUACAUUUUAGUGUUAGAUACAUCCGUAUCUAAAAAAAUGUAAGACAAGAAUUUUGGGACGGAGGGAAUACUAC
rnacentral:pre_miRNA from 1 species